CCCGCUGUCCUCUGGGUCCACGGCCACCCUCCCGGAGGCCAUCUCUCUGCCUGGCCUCAACACCACCCGCCCCCUGGCUGGCAUGUGCCAAGGAGUGCGAGGGGUCCCCGUGUCUGGAAGGGGACGCCCCGGCUGGCCUGCCCGGCCUCGGCAGCCCGCCCUUCCAGAAAGUCCCCGGCCCCUUCCUGCCUGGCUUCCUGCCGAGCCCUUCCUGGAAACCGGCCCCCUGCCCUGCCCCCAGCCCAGCGCGGUUCCCCGGGUGACUCACCGGCCCUCCGGGCAGGCAGGCCGGCUGGCCGCCUUUCACUCACUGUCCUGAGAGUUUGAAAAACAACUGGGGUGGGAGGGGGCGCCCAGGGCCCACCACGCCGGGCGACCCCGAGGGACAGGGCAAGAGAACACGAGGUUUCUACUUAAACAUCUGCCUAAAAACGAGUCAGCGGGGUUUGAGUACAGCGGAAAAUGCGGUGCUGCAAAGCAAGCUGUUUAUAAGCAUAUGAACCUUGGGCUUCGGGUUCAGAAGGCUCACUGGAGUGCAUGCGACAGAAACUCAUGAGAGAAAUGAUUGGCUUCUGAAAUUGGAAACCACACCAGCUUCAGGCAUGGCUGGCUCCAGGGCCUCCAGUGGCUUCCGUCUAUGCUAGCAGGAGCAUUCCCAAGCCACAGGCUGCUACCUGACCUGUUUGGAAUUCCAGUCAAAAGACAGCUGUUCUUUCCCAUCAGGCCCAGAAAAGAGUCAACAGCUGGCUGAGGCCUGCCUUGGACUGGGUUCUGUUCCGAUCCCUGACCCCUGCAGCGACUCCAAGUGUCCAGGCGUGGGCUUCGGACAUACUCUGGUGGCUGCCAACCCUCCCAGAACAUCCGAAGGAAUUCCCCUGGGGAGACUGUUCUCUGAAGAAAGGGGCUGUAGAAGGGAGGAGCUGAUGUCCCUCAUGUUUAUACUGCUGUCUUUAGGGGUGCCUGGCUGUAGUACAGAGCUCUCUUCCCACCAAUCACAUAUGCAUUUUUCCUCCAAGAAGUGAGAGGAAAAGACGUGUCUUUCUCAGCCAGUGUCUUGAGCCAUUUUCUGUUGCUAUAACAAAAUACCUUUGGCUGGAAACUUCAUAAAAGAAAGAGGUUUGCUCAUCUCAUGGUUUCUGGUGGCCCCUCUGCCUGGCCUUGUGGCAGAUGACAUCACAGUGGGAGACCACAUGCAAGACCAGAAGCCAGGGAGACCGAGCAGCCAGGCUCGCACCAGCAUGACAAGCCAUCCUGAGAACACCAGCUCACUGCACAAUAGCCGUGUUGCUGCCUCUGCCGUCCCGCCGGAUGAUGAGGGCCACCAUGGCUGGGACCUUGUAGCUCUGGCCAACGGCCAUCCCCUGCCAGAUAUGGGAUGAGGCUGUCUCAGGUCCUCCAGUGACAGCUGAACACAGGCACUGGAGACAGCUCAGCAGACGUUAGUGGUGCCCACCCUGACCACGCCUCCUCGGUGGAUCCAUGGAUCUCUGAGCAAAGCCAGAGUGUGGUGUUAAAACACUGAGUGUGAGGCAGUAAACUGGGUCAAGGAAGCAACAGAAGGUGGCCCCUCGCCUCCAAAGAGGAUGAAACAGGUCCACACAAACAAAGCUUCUAUCAGCUGGGUGUGGCGGCGCCUCUCUGGGAAGCUGAGGCAGGAGAAUUGCAAGUUUGAG